GGUAGGAUGGCCGAGGGUUUAGGCGGUGGGCUGUAGUCCCAUAAACAGGGGUUUAAUUCCUCUUCCUUCCA
rnacentral:tRNA from 1 species